rnacentral:rRNA from 1 species
AUGGUCAAACGAGGGCUUAGCUGUCUCCUUUUUCAUGUCAAUGAAAUUGAUUUCUUCGUGCAAAAGCGGGGAUUACCCCAUAAGACGAGAAGACCCUGUGAAGCUUUAGAUGAGAAGGCAGAUCUGAUUAAUAAGCCCUAGUAAAGGAUCAAGCUACUAACCCCUGUCUUAGCAUCUUCGGUUGGGGCGACCACGGGGAGUUACAUAACCCCCGCGUGGAUUGGGCAUAAGAAUGUUCUUGUUCCUAAAGCCAAGAGCCUCCGUUCUAAGAAACAGAAUUUCUGACCUCAUAGGAUCCGGCAAUGCUGAUCAACGGACCAAGUUACUCCAGGGAUAACAGCGCCAUCCUCUUUCAGAGCCCUUAUCGACAAGAGGGUUUACGACCUCGAUGUUGGAUCAGGACAUCCUAAUGGUGUAGCCGCUAUUAAGGGUUCGUUUGUUCAACGAUUAAUAGUCCUACGUGAUCU